GCUGGGCAUGGUGGUGCAUGCCUGUAGUCCCAGCUACUCAGGAGGCUGAGAUGGGAGGAUCACUUGAACCCAGGAAGUGGAGGCUGCAGUGAGCCAGGAUUGUGCCACUGCACUCCAGCCUGGGUGACAGAGUGAGACCCUGUCUCCA
rfam:Pan troglodytes isolate Yerkes chimp pedigree #C0471 (Clint) chromosome 22, whole genome shotgun sequence.